rnacentral:rRNA from 1 species
AGAGUUUGAUCAUGGCUCAGGAUGAACGCUGACAGAAUGCUUAACACAUGCAAGUCUACUUGAAGCAACUUCGGUUGUGGAUGGUGGCGGACGGGUGAGUAACGCGUAAAGAACUUGCCCCCUAGUCUGGGACAACUGUUGGAAACGACAGCUAAUACUGGAUAUUAUGAGACCUUGGCAUCAAGGACUUAUGAAAGCUAUAUGCGCUAGGGGAGAGCUUUGCGUCCUAUUAGCUAGUUGGUGAGGUAAUGGCUCACCAAGGCGACGAUAGGUAGCCGGCCUGAGAGGGUGAACGGCCACAAGGGGACUGAGACACGGCCCUUACUCCUACGGGAGGCAGCAGUGGGGAAUAUUGGACAAUGGACCAAAAGUCUGAUCCAGCAAUUCUGUGUGCUCGAUGAAGGCCUUCGGGUUGUAAAGAGCUUUAAGUAGGGAAGAAGAAAGUGACGGUACCUACAGAAUAAGCGACGGCUAAAUACGUGCCAGCAGCCGCGGUAAUACGUAUGUCGCAAGCGUUAUCCGGAAUUAUUGGGCAUAAAGGGCGUCUAGGCGGUUUAGAAAGUCUGAUGUGAAAAUGCGGAGCUCAACUCCGUAUUGCGUUGGAAACUACUAGACUAGAGUAUUGGAGAGGUAAGCGGAACUACAAGUGUAGAGGUGAAAUUCGUAGAUAUUUGUAGGAAUGCCAAUUGGGAAGCCAGCUUACUGGACAAAUACUGACGCUGAAGCGCGAAAGCUAGGGGAGCAAACAGGAUUAGAUACCCUGGUAGUCCUAGCUGUAAACGAUGAUCACUGGGUGUGGGGGGUCGAACCUCCGUGCCGAAGUUAAUGCGAUAAGUGAUCCGCCUGGGGAGUACGUUCGCAAGAAUGAAACUUAAAGGAAUUGACGG